UUAAGUGAAGAGACUUAAAUAAAAUUGAAAGACAAGAAGACCCUAUAGAGCUUUAUUUUAACUAUAAACUUAUUAUACUAAAAUUCGGUUGGGGCGACCUAGGAACAUUAAACAUCCUAAAAUUUAUAAGAUUAAUUCAUUCUUUUUAGAUCCAAUAUUUGAUCACUAGAUUAAGUUACCUUAGGGAUAACAGGCUAAUAAUUUUUUAGAGUUCUUAUCAACAAAAUUGUUUGGCACCUCGAUGUUGGCUUAAGGAACCACCAUGACGCAGAAGUCAUAGAUGGAGGUUUCAACCUAUGAAUCCUUACAUGAGCUGAGUUCAGACCGGCGUGAGCCAGGUUAGAUUCUAUCUUCAAU
rnacentral:ncRNA from 1 species